CAUGAUGUUCUUCAUGAUAGCGUCGUGGAUUCGGCGUGAUUGACGGCGGUUCGUGGAUUCGGAUCGUAAGCUUCGUGGAUUCGUAGUGGAGGUGUUUCGUGGAUUCGGAACGUGGCGUUUCGUGGAUUCGGAACGUGGCGUUCAUGGAUUUGAACGUGAGGGCGUGGACAACCCGGAGGAUUGCGCGAGAUUCAUAGGAAGUUAAGAGAGGUUGAGUCCGUGGAGUCGGUAAUCACCUUGUAAUCUUUUCUCUUAGUGAAUUAUUUUUUCGCGUGUUGGU
rnacentral:lncRNA from 1 species